UCUGCUCUCACUUUAUUACAUUAAAAUUUCAUGUGAUUCAUAUUCGAGUUCUGUCGAGUUUCCAAACCACGCAUUCUACAUACUAACUAUGAUUUAAUUUAAUAAAUGCUCUAAUAUGUCAUUCUAGAUCUUAGGUUUUAUUGGAACGGUGUUGUAUGCUGUCGACACGGCCAUUCAUGUCCGUAUGUUCUUAACAGGUGCCUCAGCAGGCCCACAAGCCAGUGCAGGUGCUCCAGCAUAAAUUCGAUAAAGAACCUACAAAGACUUUUCAAAAAACUCGAAAUGUAAACGCUUGCUAGGAAAAUGUAACGAGUAGCGAUGUGCAUGCUUGUGUACAUUGUAGUUUAGGACUUCUCAUAUAGUUGGCAUGGAUAAUAAAGCGACAGUGUAAAUAAAGUAAAGCCUUGGGCAAACUAGGAAAUAAUGUUUUGCCAUGUUUCCAAGAGUGGGCAAACACUAGGAAACAUUAGUGAGAAACAUAGGGAAACAUCAAAUGUUUCUGAAUUUGGUAGGAAACAUUUUUGCUUCUCGGGAAGCAAAUUUUGUUUCCGCAACAAUGUCUCUACGGUUGGGCAAACAGGGAAACAUUUGAAGAAACAUCGAGAAUCACAAAUGUUUCGACAACAAUGUUUCCUAGUUUGCCCAGGGCUUAAGAUCAACAUUUCUAUAGGCAUAGCGCAUAGUUAAAUGUGGAUAUGUUCAUGCAAAUGCGCUUAACUUUAUGUCAAGUAUUAUAUACGCUUACCUAAUUUCAUAUUUACUUAGCCUAGACUAUUUAUCCUUACAACAAUUGUGAUUUUUCUGUGUUGGUGUAAUGUACUCAGGUGAAUAUGAUGCUUGUGAUGUUACUCUGAGUGUAUAUCCACACCGGGCAAGCUUGAAAAAUAUGCCUGACCACGGUGGGAAUCGAACCUACGACCUUUGGAAUGCUAGCCCAAUGCUCUGCCAACUGAGCUACGCGGUCUGGUCGGUUCGAGUAUGUGAUAUUUCGGA